CAGCCGCCGCGGUAAUACGUAGGGUGCGAGCGUUAAUCGGAAUUACUGGGCGUAAAGCGUGCGCAGGCGGUUAUAUAAGACAGAUGUGAAAUCCCCGGGCUCAACCUGGGACCUGCAUUUGUGACUGUAUAGCUAGAGUACGGUAGAGGGGGAUGGAAUUCCGCGUGUAGCAGUGAAAUGCGUAGAUAUGCGGAGGAACACCGAUGGCGAAGGCAAUCCCCUGGACCUGUACUGACGCUCAUGCACGAAAGCGUGGGGAGCAAACAGGACUAGAUACCCCCGUAGUCCCUGUCUCUUAUAC
rnacentral:rRNA from 1 species